AUUGAACGCUGGCGGCAUGCCUUACACAUGCAAGUCGAACGGCAGCACGGGGGCAACCCUGGUGGCGAGUGGCGAACGGGUGAGUAAUACAUCGGAAUGUACCCAGUAGUGGGGGAUAACUAGUCGAAAGAUUAGCUAAUACCGCAUACGCACUAUGGUGGAAAGCGGGGGAUCGCAAGACCUCGCGCUAUUGGAGCAGCCGAUGUCCGAUUAGGUAGUUGGUGGGGUAAAAGCCUACCAAGCCUGCGAUCGGUAACUGGUCUGAGAGGACGACCAGUCACACUGGGACUGAGACACGGCCCAGACUCCUACGGGAGGCAGCAGUGGGGAAUUUUGGACAAUGGGGGAAACCCUGAUCCAGCAAUGCCGCGUGUGUGACGAAGGCCUUCGGGUUGG
rnacentral:rRNA from 1 species